GCCUGGAGUAACUCCGAGCCUCUGCCCUGGGAAGCGGGGCAGCUCUUCACAUUCCAGACAUUCUUAGAGGGUACAGAGGAGGCGGGAAGAAAGGCUAUUCCCAGUUCUCCGCCUCAGUGCCAACGAUACCCCGUGGGCAUGAUCCUAGGCAGGCACAAGGGCAGGUGGCCUUGGGAGCCAAGGCAGGGCCCUGCUCCUGGAGGUGCCCACCCGGGGCUCGGGCUUCCAAGGCAGACUCCAGGAGCCGUCUCCCUCCAUCCAGCCACACACUCAGCCCUGCUUUCUCAGGAGCGGACUCUUCCAGAAGCAGCUCUGGGAAAUCAUGGAGGACUGAGGCCCUGAGCUCCCAGCCGACAGCCAGUGCCAGCUUCCAGGAGGUGCGUACGCCAUCUUGAAUUUUCCAGCACGCUUGACCUCGGGACCGCAGACAAGGACCAGGGGAGUCGGUCCACAGAAAAUGAAGAUAAUAUCUUAAUCUUUUAAACCACUGAAACUAGCAAGGCCCUGGAACACGGUGUUGAUGGAAGUGGCAAAGUAUCAUCAUACUUCCAGCCUCGGAAGGAAGGUCUUCAAUAUUUCACCAUUUAUGAUGUUUGGAUUAAGAUUUUUUUCCUUGUUAAUUCCUUUUAUCAGAUUAUGGAUAUUCCUUUUUGUUUCUAAUUUGCUAAGAAUCUUUAAACAGUAAUUUUAAAAAUUUUUACUAAAUCCUUUCUUGUAUAUUUUGA